rnacentral:miRNA from 1 species
AACUAAGUUUGUUAUCGGUAUGAGCUUUUGUGUGCAUGCACACUUCUUCAGAUAUCUGUAUCUGUUUCUGAAUCAUUAUCUGUAUCAUUAUCUGUAUCUGAAGAAGUGUGCAUGCACACGAAAGCUCAUACCGAUAACAAACUUAGUUGG